rnacentral:lncRNA from 1 species
AUGAACGGUCUUCCCAGGAUUAAUGAAUUUUUUUCAUCAUUUUUCAUAUCCACCACUAUAAAAUCCACCAAAAAUUCCAACUCCUUAAUCCGAACAAUUGCAUUUUCUACCAUUCCAACUGGUUUCUUCCUAGACCCAUCCGCCACUGUUAAGAUCACUUUAGUGGGCUUUAAUUCUAUCCCUCUCAUCUUCUUAAAAUCGCUAAGAGGCAUUAGAUUAAUGCUUGAUCCUGAAUCAAUCAAAGCUUAUCCUAAAUCUAUAUCAUUUAUGAUGCAAGGAAGAGUCAAAGCUCCUGAAUCCUCUAGUUUCUACGGAUGGUUCUUCUUCCUGGGUUUUGCCCACUGCUCCUGAUUUUCUUCAUAGCCCAGAUCAAGUAACUUUCCCAAAUAAUAUUUGAUCCUUUCAUCAUCCUCAGAAGUUUGCGACGAUGUUCUAGGAUUAAUGGGCACCUUAUCGAGAAUAUUACAAAGUGAUUCUUUAAUACCUUCCUUCUCUUUUUCUCUGUCAGCUUUCUUCUCCUCGCAAUUCUUAUGCUCAUCAUGAAUCCUCUCCUCCUCUUCUUCCCCGUUGCUUCCGAUCUCAAUUAUUUCCUCCUCUGGCUUCCUUUUUCCUCCUGUUGUAACAACUUUGCACUUCUCCUUUGGGUUAACGUCAGUGUUAGCCUGAAAUUGAUUUUUCUCUGUGAUUUCAACCCUCUUAGACAGCUGACCAAUUUGUGUCUCUAGAGAUCUAAAGCUAGCCUGAUCACUUGCUUG